rnacentral:rRNA from 1 species
AAUGAACGCUGGCGGCAUGCCUAACACAUGCAAGUCGAACGAGACCUUCGGGUCUAUUGGCGCACGGGUGCGUAACGCGUGGGAACCUGCCCUUAGGUUCGGAAUAACUCCCCGAAAGGGGUGCUAAUAGCGGACAAUGUCUUCGGACCAAAGAUUUAUUGCCUUUGGAUGGGCCCGCGUGGGAUUAGCUUGUUGGUAGGGUAAAAGCCUACCAAGGCGACGAUCCAUAGCUGGUCUCAGAGGAUGAUCAGCCACACUGGGACUGAGACACGGCCCAGAAUCCUACGGGAGGCAGCAGUGGGGAAUAGUGGACAAUGGGCGAAAGCAUGAUGCAGCAAUGACGCGUAAGUGAUGAAGGCCUUAGAGUUGUAAAGCUCUUUUAACCAGGAUGAUAAUGACAGUACCGGGAGAAUAAGCCCCGGCUAACUCCGUG